rnacentral:tRNA from 1 species
GCCUAGUUAGCUUGGUUGGUAGAGCGUGUGUCUUGUAAGAGCUAGACCGCGGGUUCGAUUCCCGCCCGGGGCG